rnacentral:ncRNA from 12 species
ACCCGCUAUGCGUCCGAGGUCCCGAAAGGGUCGGAGGUUUAUUGUUAGACCUGAGAGCGCUAAGGCGGGUUU